UGGGGAAUUUUGGACAAUGGGCGAAAGCCUGAUCCAGCAAUGCCGCGUGUGUGAAGAAGGCCUUCGGGUUGUAAAGCACUUUUGUCCGGAAAGAAAUCCUCUGGGUUAAUACCUCGGGGGGAUGACGGUACCGGAAGAAUAAGCACCGGCUAACUACGUGCCAGCAGCCGCGGUAAUACGUAGGGUGCAAGCGUUAAUCGGAAUUACUGGGCGUAAAGCGUGCGCAGGCGGUUUUGUAAGACGGAUGUGAAAUCCCCGGGCUUAACCUGGGAACUGCAUUCGUGGCUGCAAGGCUAGAGUAUGGCAGAGGGGGGUAGAAUUCCACGUGUAGCAGUGAAAUGCGUAGAGAUGUGGAGGAAUACCGAUGGCGAAGGCAGCCCCCUGGGCCAAUACUGACGCUCAUGCACGAAAGCGUGGGGAGCAAAACAGGAUUAGAUACCCUGGUAGUCCACGCCCUAAAACGAUGUCAACUAGUUGUUGGGGAUUCAUUUCCUUAGUAACGUAGCUAACGCGUGAAGUUGACCGCCUGGGGAGUACGGUCGCAAGAUU
rnacentral:rRNA from 1 species